UUAGGUGGCACAGAAAGAAACACUUGACAAAGUUGACAGGACAGUUAUUGCUCCUUUACAGCAACAUCCAUCUCAAGCAUGAUCUGAAUUCUGGACAAAGAAAGUACCACUGAAAGAGAAAGAAAAAUCUUGCUUUUAAGGUUGGACACCCCUCAGCCAAGCCAUUCACUGUCCUUUUUGGGGGUAAGGGGAUGGAGGAGGGAAGGCAAAUGCUGUGCUAAAAGCAUUUUAUGAAGUGUGUUUUUCUCAUGUCUUCUGCAUAAAGGCAGCACCAUUUAUAACCCAAAGUCUUUGUUUUGGUUUUGGCCCCAAGUAUUCACUGGCAAAGUUCUGAAAAACAACAGUGGAACUAACAAGACCAAAAAAAAAAACACGUAGGAAAAACAAGGAAAUAAAACCAGACCAUAGUACUGCAGAUGUAUAGAUAAAAGACCCACCACAGCAUCCGAAUUUUAACUCACCAAAACCAGAAAUGUACAACAGUGCAGCAAUUCUUUUGCACAGAGAGCAAAGCUGCUUGAGAUAUUACUUUCACCCACUGACAGGGAAUACAAUUUAUUUGUGGUUUUUGAUCUUAUACAUUAAAACAAAACAAAACAAAACUCUCCUGGACAAGCAGAAUUGGUGCUAAUGUUAAGGUAAUGCUGUAGCUCUUCAGUCCAGGAACACAUUUCUUAUUUGUACUCAAGCCAAGUUCGUUCACUUAUAUUUUCACUAAAGCCACAGCCUUUUGAAGAUGUUGCACUUGGACUUCCUUCCUGCCAAGUUUCUAAAUUACGAUGUGCUGCGUCCAUGAGAAACUGAAUGAGUUUUAUUAGAACAAGGUGCCAGAAUGUUUCACCCUCCACCACAUCAGGUCCAGGGCAGAAGUAGUGCAUGAAAAGACACUGUCAAUACAUUCUGUCCCUCAAAUGUAUAAAGAUUUUCUUUUCCCUCUCCCAACACUGAUUGUAAAAACAUUGAAAAUAUCUUGAAAGAAAAUGUUUAUUGAUCUCUCAAAUCUCCUGGUGCACUUUCACUCAAAAAGAACAUCUGUCUACGUCUCCUGCCACUCUUUUGUUUUCAAGGUAGGCUACACACUGCAGAAAGCUCUACCAGUGAAAUAUAAACUAUCAUUUGUAGCUUUAUUGAUGAAGGGUUUAUUGAUUGGGGAUUGACUAGACAGGUUAAACAGAAAAUCAAACACAAGGUUUUUUUCCACUGGAUUGAAGAAGAAAGCCUAUCAAAGAAGUCCACUGUAUUCCUGUUUUGGAGUUAUCUGAGGGAGAACAUGCCCAUUUAGCUGCUUUCUUGUUGGCAUUGCUGUCCUGAAUCUCCCUGCCUUUAGACACAAGCCCAGCUCUCUUACUAUGUUGUUGAUUUUGAUCCCUUGGACGAAAGGCCACCUGGGUGGUAGUUCUGCAAUUCAAAUCGUCACGGUGUUGUAUGAUGUAACAUUUCUUCAGAGCUGGGGGGAAGCCAGUUUUUUCAUUCUACCCUUUUGGUUCUUUUUUGUUGAUAAUUAAGCUUUCACAAAGUUUGUAAAAUAUUCCAUAAAAUACUGAGAUGGCAUUAUUAUUAGAUAAAUAUCAUUACUUAUAUUAAAAUAUUAUUAAUAAUUGGCAGUAAUUUCCAUUUCAUAUCAUGCCUUGAGACAGCACAUUUUCCCUCAUAUGUGAUGUAGGAAAUAACCUUUGUACAGUCAGUAUUACUGUGUAGUAAUGUUGGCUUUAUUAUGGAGACCACAGUUCAUUAGGGAGCCUGAUCACUUCUUUAACAGAACACUUUGCCUCUAUUCUGAGAUGAUUUAAACCUACAAAAGUGAGAAGCUCCACAUGGAAAGCAGGAAGUUUGAGUGCAGAGCACCAAGUAGGAGAAAGCACUUGCAUUUUUGAAUGGGACACAGGUCAGGAAUAGUAUUGCAUACACUCAGCUUUUCCUUAGGGCACAGUAGGACCACAAACUGAAACCCUCCUAGAGAGAAUACAGAAGGGUCUUUGAAAAGCUCGAUUCGUUAAACAUUUGUUCCUAAUCACCCAAACGACUUUAACCAUUUUCACAAAUGCAAAUUGCCAUUAUCCUCUGCUAGCCAGAAUAGGACUUCAUGAUUUAAUGCAAAUUGGUCAUGUCCCACAGGCACAGUUGGAUUUUUAAAGUAUGAGGAUUGAGUUGCUUCUCAAAAUGUCAGCAGGUAAAAUGAAUUUGCCCAGGAAAUUUAUUAACAAUUGACACUUUCUCCCUCCUGUUCAUCAUGAAAGGCAGUUCUGACACUGAAAAGAGUGAACACGGUGUAUGUAUGGUGGAUGUGAAUAGUUCCUUAUUACCCUAUCAGCAUCAUGUCAACAGAGAAGCUAGGAAAAUCAAUUUUCCUUUUAAAUACUAGAACACUAGUGAGGGCAGUGCAGCAGAAUGAGAUUUGUCACCAAUUUCAGAGAUGCCAGUAUUUCAACCAGUUUGUAAUGGGUUUUUCUCAAAGAUUGAAUUCUGUUCUCAGACUCUGAAAUAGAUUCCUCUUCUUUUCAAUAUUUUAUUUUGCUACAUUUUUAUGUUCUGCUUUGAUUGUUUAGACAAUUCCUCAAGGUGAUAUCUAAACCAGCUUGAAAGUAUCCACCAGAGUCUCCCCUCUAGGGUGAAUUUAUCUCAAACACAUCAAACAUGGCAGAUGAUAAAAUUUCUGUUUGCUGAAGUGCAAAUUGUUGAGAAGAUCCAGUUUCAGAAUGUGGUUAUUACAGCCCCUAAAGGAUGCAAAGUAUCAGCCAACACUUAGGUGGUGUUUAAUAGUCCAUGAAAUAAUCUCAAAGAUUAUCUCAAAAAGCUCCUCUAGGUAAUUCCUUCUAGCUAAACUUGACCAGAUUUCCUAGAUUUACCAGAGCACUGGAAGAGCAGAGGACUCUGAAGAAGUGGAGGAACCCAUCAAUAGGGUACCAUCAGCCUCCUGGUGCUUUGUGCCUCAUCCCACCUUCUUGUUCUACCUGGGAGCUGCCUCUUGCUCCUUCUGAACGGGUUUUUGGAGUGCUUGUCCUGAUGCCCACACCACCCUGACUGUGCUGUUCCAUUCAAGCCAUGGGAUGCAAAAGAUUAAAGCUAAUUUAAGAUGGGAGCUCUCAAGCACAGCCUGUAAUCCCAGUUCUGCUGCAGGCUUCUUGAGGAUGAUGCAACACUGUGAGAGACCUGAAAACCGGCCAGUUCCAGGCUCCCAGCCUUUGUCUGUUUCUUGGAAGCACAGAUCACUCAUUAAGCAUCCCUGGAUUUUGCAGGCAACCAUGCCUGUCUGGAACAUGUCUAAGACAAGAAGAUUCACCUUCCAGUGGAACUGGACUCUGGAGAGAGAGAACAGAAAAAUCUCUGGCAGAUUGCCCUGUGUGGUUGUAAAUGAAUGUACUAUUUCGUUUUCAUAUUACAGUACCAGGAGCUGAAACAGAGAAAAAAAAAGAAAAAGAAAUUGCUCUUUUGCCAUGGAGAGCACAUUUGAGCAAGGCAACCCAAUGAAACACUGGCCCAAACCCAUAUUUUUUUAAAUUAUAAAACCAUGGUUAAGGUUUUAAUGCAGUAUAACUCCAGCAGCUAUACAGAUGUUAUCAUACCCACCUAGUUUAUUACAUGAAAACUGUAGUAAACCUGUCAUGAUUGCAGGAACACUAGACUCAAAUACGAGGUCCUGUAGUAAUAAUAUGGUAAAACAUGCCAAAGCGUAGUUUUAAUCUGUCAUCAACCAAAUUUAUUGGACAGAAUGUGGCUUGAGAGCACUGAAACCCCUAGAACAGUGUUUUGAUGAUUGGGCACAAUUUUUAAUGAGUUAUUCUAAUUUUCAGAAAGUGUUUCAGUAGCACUAGAGAUGAUGCUUAAUGAGCUAAAGGCGUGAAAGAUCUGGAGGCUGAAUUUGCUGUGACAUGUCAUGAUGUACACAUAAAUUUUAUGUCUGUUGUGUUUGCAGAUUGACAGUGCUUUGUAGUCUACAAAAAGUAAAGCAGUAAUGAGGAAUUAGGAAGGAAUUAUUUUUCACACCUACCAGCAGCUGUGAAUCCUUCCUCUUGUGUAACCAGGACGUGCUACAAUACCAAAUUAUAAAAAAAGCUUCAAGUGGAAAACAAAUGACAAGUGAUAUAUAGACAUAGACAAAUAACUGAUGUUUGUUUUCAUCAUUACUGCUUUAAUACUUUAGGCUCAUCUGAGUUUUGCCCCUUAUUGUCUGUUAUACAGGGAAGUAAUCCCAAAAGUCUUGUACUUAAAACCUUGGCUAUGACCCACUUUCUCCUGUAGGCCAGAUGACACAGCACCUGUAAAAAGUCCAAGGUAUUAGCUAAGAACUCACUGUGCUGGAGGAAAUUACAAAAGGUUGGUGAUAACUAAGAUGAAAUGGUGUGUCAGCCUACAGACAAUACUAUGUCUUCCUCUUUUCACCUCUUCUUUAUGGGUUACUGGCAAUAUUAACUGAAGCAAGAUAAGUGUCUAAAACUGGAUGUGAAUAUAUGCAUUUAAACUAACAUGAAUGAUAAUAUGUACUUAAGCACUCACAGUCAUCAUGUGGUGCCCUCUCCAAGGUCUGUGAGCACAUCUGCAGGUGCUGCUGAAGUGCUUGUGUUUGAAAUUGGCAGUAAAGUCAAAUAAAUGUGUGUCUGCAAAGAGACUAAAUAAAAUAACUGCAAACAUUUUAAGCUAAACCUUUAGAAUAUGGUGGUAAACAGCCUGCAGUCAUGGGGCAGUGACUGAAAUAAGGAGCGGGUUUCUUAUUGAACUCGGUGUCAUUAUAUUCACUUUAUACCCUGCAGUUAUCCUUUGGAGAUUACAAAGGCAGAAAGAGUCUGUGGAGAUUAUCUGCUGAGGUUCUCUGAGGCUGUGAGAAAGUCAGCUUGUUGGGAAUAUCGUGUGUCUGUUUGGAAGGGUUCUGGCAAUGAGCUAGUGAAGGAAAGUGGGAGAGAGCCUGGCUUUGUGCAGCUCACCUCUUCCCUACUCACUUCUCCUUUCCUCCAUGGACCCUGGAGCCCAGGUAGGGUCCUCAUCCCUUGGACGCACAUAUUUUGAUGGUUCUAUCAGUAAUAUGUCAUAGCAAACUCUUUUUGCCUGCUGAAUUAAGAUUGGAAUGGAAGGCUGAGGGGUUGGCUGUAGAUGUUUUGAUGUCAGCCUGUAAAAACAAAGCUGUUGUCUGCAAAGAAUAAACUGUAUUCCUUCAAAUCUG